AAUAUUAUCUUAUUUCCUAACAAAGUGACCUGUCGUCUGUCGUCCUGGGCUCUGGCAGUUGGCAAAUCCCUUUCUGUGGUGCUGGGGACAGCCGGCAGGGUCUCCACCUCUGCCGUGGCCACAUGCAGCGGGGUGUAUCAGUCAGACUCACGGUCCAUCCAACACAGGCGGCCGCGUAAAGUGACACUAGAGAAGUCUGUGCCAGUUCAUCCGGGAGGACCGAGAAAGAUGCCACCAAGUUUCACCUGGGUGCAGUAACCCCACCCAGAUAUCCGCCCAGAGAAGCAGGGUUGAGUGGGUUGGGUUGUUGGUACUAAGCAGAACGGAGAAAGUGCCCCCAAACUAGGUUACCAUUAGUCGUGGUUCCAAGUCACGUUCCAUAUGCUGUUCCACCGACUCUUCGGGGACAGCAGAAAUUACUCCAGGUCUCAUCUCCCCAAAGGAAGGAAGAUAAAGGUUCCUGCCCAGGACUGCCUGCAGGGGGGACUGCUGCAAAUUAUUGGAGGAGCCAGAAAGACUUCGCAGCUCCUGGACGGAGGAAGCAUUGAUAGAGGGAGUCUCGGAGCUCAAAGGAAACUACCCCAAGCCUUAGUCCUGGCCUUCUCUAAUCUUCAAACAAAAUCUAAAAUCAACAUUUAUAUAAAGUGCAUAAAACGCUCAGCACGGAAGUGAAUGGAGUUAUGCAUCCCAUGCACAAUAAAUUCUGUUUUCUAUCUUUUCAGAUAGAAAGACAAAGAGAAGUUCUCCUUUUAGGGGUGGGGUGGGGCCAGUGAUAAAUAAACUUAAGAUCAAA